rnacentral:rRNA from 1 species
UGGGGAAUAUUGCGCAAUGGGGGAAACCCUGACGCAGCGACGCCGCGUGGAGGAUGAAGGCCCUUGGGUCGUAAACUCCUGUCAAAAACGAAGAAAGACAUUCUGUAUAAUACACAUUAUGUUUGACUGUAGUUUUAGAGGAAGCUCCGGCUAACUCCGUGCCAGCAGCCGCGGUAAUACGGAGGGAGCAAGCGUUGCUCGGAAUCACUGGGCGUAAAGAGCGUGUAGGCGGAAUGAUUAGUCGGAUGUGAAAGUCCCGAGCUCAACUCGGGAAGUGCAUUCGAUACUGUCAUUCUUGAGUUCGAGAGGGGAGAGUGGAAUUCCUGGUGUAGCGGUGAAAUGCGUAGAUAUCAGGAAGAACACCUGUGGCGAAGGCGGCUCUCUGGAUCGAUACUGACGCUGAGACGCGAAAGCUAGGGGAGCAAACGGG